rnacentral:rRNA from 1 species
AAGAGGGUAACCCUCCACACUGGAACUGAGACAAGGACCAGACUUCUACGGAAGGCAGCAGUGAGGAAUAUUGGUCAAUGGAGGAAACUCUGAACCAGCUAUGCCGCGUGUACGGAAGACAGUCUUUUAGAUUGUAAACUACUUUUGCAUAGAAAUAAAAGUUACUACGUGAUAGUAACCUGAAGGUACUAUGCGAAUAAGUGUCGGCUAAUUUCGUGCCAGCAGCCGCGGUAAUACGAAAGACACAAGCGUUAUCCGGAUUUAUUGGGUUUAAAGGGUGUGUAGGCUGUUUAUUAAGUCAGUAGUGAAAGCUUACAGCUUAACUGUAAAAUUGCUAUUGAUACUGAUAAUCUUGAGUAAGAUUGGAGCUUCUGGAAUGUAUGGUGUAGCGGUGAAAUGCAUAGAUAUCAUACAGAACGCCAAUAGCGAAGGCAGGAUGCUAAAUCUUCACUGACGCUGAGGCACUAAAGCGUGGGUAGCAAACAGGAUUAGAUACCCUGGUAGUCCACUGCCCUAAACGAUGAUCACUAGCUAUUGGAAAAACUAUAUUCAGUGGCUAAGCUAAAGCGAUAAGUGAUCCACCUGGGAAGUACGAUCGCAAGAUUGAAACUCAAAGGAAUUGACGGGGUUCCGCACAAGCGGUGGAGCAUGUGGUUUAAUUCGAUGAUACGCGAGGAACCUUACCAAGGCUUAAAUGUAUUACGAAUAAGCUGGAAACAACUUAGUCUAUAAGACGUAAUACAAGGUGCUGCAUGGUUGUCUUCAGUUCGUGCUGUGAAGUGUUUGGUUAAGUCCUAUAACGAGCGCAACCCCUAUUGUUAGUUGCCAACGGGUAAAGCUGGGGACUCUAACAAAACUGCCGAUGUAAAUCGUGAGGAAGGU